AUCAAUGAUAAAGCUAUGCGGGACAUGCACAUACAGAAAAUGGCUUAAAUGGUGUCUGAAUUCCCGUGGGGUGGUGGAUAGCUGAAGACCCAAAACACCACCAAAGCGGUUUGUUGGGGGAUCCUUGGAAAUGCUAGAUAAUGCCUUCACAUGGGCAAAAAAGUAUGAAAUUAAGGUAAUUGUGGACCUGCAUGCUGCUUCAGGCUCACAGAACGGAAAACCUCACAGUGCCUCAAGAGAUGGAUAUCUAGAAUGGGAUACAUGCGAUACAGAUUUUAUAUGAGUGGAUGUGAGAAAGAGAAGUUGAGAGAGUUAGACAGAGAGAGAGAGAGAGAGAGAGAGAGAGAGAGAGAGAGAGAGAGAGAGAGAGAGAGAUGGGAAGGGGAAGAGUGGAGUUGAAGAAAAUUGAGAACAAGAUCAACAGGCAAGUGACCUUUGCAAAACGAAGAAACGGGCUUUUGAAGAAAGCUUAUGAGCUUUCCGUUCUUUCGGCUUCUGUUUGGAAGAAUCGCUCCUUCAUGCUUUGAUGAUGGUGGUGCGCGUUCCAAACAGGUAACUGCUAUUCUACAGACCCAAUUCAUGCUGUAUCUCAGCUUUCUGAUAGUCAGCGCAAGGAACACUUGCUAGGUGAGGCAAACACAGCUCUCAGACAAAGGUUGGAAGAAUAUCAAAUAAAUCAAUUUCAACUGAAUCCCAGUGGUGAAGAAAUGGGGUAUGACCGUCAUCCAGGUCAACACCAAGGCGAUGCUCUCUUUCAACCAUUGGAGUGUGAGCCAACAUUACAAAUGGGCAUGCUGAAAACGCUAGAGAGGUAUCAGAAAUGUAACUAUGGAGCGCCCGAGGCCAAUGCGUCAACAAAGGAAGCCUUGGUAUUGGUGGUGGUGGCAGUGGAACUACUUCGUCAAGCGGUUCUGGUGAUACACCAAUUAGAAGUCCAAAUAUAGCAUCAACUGGUUUUUCACUCUCUCUUGCUUGGAUUGCAGGUAUUGUGUUGGUGUGUUUUUUGUCGCGGUGGUUGUGUUUCUCUUUUGUGUGUGCCAUACCAAAAAAUGACAUUGGACAUUGGGAAAGGUUAAGAAUCUAGAAAACGAAAAAAAAAAGUUGUUCCGAGAAUUGAGGCUCAACGUGUUACCAUGUCAAUUCAAUUUCUUCAGCAAGUAACGAAAAAUUUCAGUGAAGAAAACAUUUUGGGUAAGAGGGAUUUUGAGUGGUGUACAGAGCGGAGUUUGGAGGGUGGAACUAAGAUUGCUGUGAAGAUUAUGGAAUGUGGUUCUUGUAGAAAGGGAAGUAAAGGAAUGAAUUGGAAGUAGAAAUUGCAGAGUAAAGUGAGGCACAGGGUACCUGUCCCUCACACACAAUGAAAUUUCAAUCCUCACAAGGAUCAUUACAAAACCAGAAACUUGCAAACUGAAAGGGACAGGCAAAAUGUUUAGCAAUAUCAAGUAAAGUGGUGACGCGAGAAUCACAAAGUCGAGAGUCAUUCCUAUAAAAUUUAUUCGAAUCAAAAGUGACAUUCAUACCCAUUUCAAACGAAAGAACGAGACCCUGAAAAAAAUUGUCGUCUGAAGAGACGUUCUGCAAACUAGAAAAGGAUAUGAGAGAAGAUGGAACCUCAUCGGUUAACUCGUCAUUUAGCUGCAAAUCAAACAAAGCGGUGCUAUUUGACAAAUCUGGAAUGGAACCCGUGAAAAAGUUCGUCUGAAGCCACACCUAAGACAAAUGGAUUAUGGAAGCAAGCACCUCAAUGGUACCCGAUAACCCGAACUCGUGUUUCGAAAUAUUGGGCCAAUAUCUCUGAAUAUUAGAUACCUUUCCAAUUGCAAUUUAUGCUUCCAAUUAAUUCAUUCUCUGAUUUCACAUUCUACAAGAACCACAUUUCAUUCUCUUUAGAGCAAUUUCACUCUCUCUUCACUGAAAUUUUGCGUUACUUGCGAAGAAAUUCAAUUGACAUGGUAACACU